GGCCGGUCAAAGGUUCCCAGUACCUGCUUCUAGAACGGCGGCGACGCGGCUCCACGCGCGCCGAGGACGUGUGGAAGCUUCCGUCCUGUUCCAGCGUUCUCGAAGGCCUGCGCUGUGCUGGGCCUAGUCAUAGCGUUCUCCUUCCUUCCUUCCUUCCUUCCUAGGAGCAUACUUGUCAGAGGGACCGGGGACAUACUAGGCCAUGUUUAGUUACUCCCAACUCCCAACUUUGACACUAUGCAAAAAGAAGAUUCCCCAUCACAUCAAACUUGCGGUACAUGCAUGGAGUACUAAAUGUAGAUGAAAUUAAAAACUAAUUGCACAGUUUUGUUGUACUUUGCGAGACGAAUCUUUUGAGCCUAAUUAGUCAAUAUUUGGACAAUAAUUCACAAAUACAAACGAAACGCUACAGUGUGCUACAGUGCUGUAACAGUAAUUUGACACCUCCCAAAUUCCCCAACUAAACAAGGCCCUAGUCGCACGACUACUACUGUCUCUGUUACCAGAGUUUGAUUUCACAUCGGCUACUGUUGCCUUAUUCCCAGAUUGAACUCCUGCUAAUCCCCUCCCUAAACUCCUGCUAAUCCCCUCCCAGAAGAUGCAAAUUUCAAAUCAGCGCACAAAUACUCAACUGGCAGAUGAUACACCUCGAGACGGCCGGGCCGUCCAUCGGUCAACGCCCAGCGUACGGCUGGCGUGCCGCCGCUCGUGCGCCCGGGCGAAGCUGACAGGUGG
rnacentral:lncRNA from 1 species